ACUAAGUUUCAACAACGGAUCUCUUGGCUCUCGCAUCGAUGAAGAACGCAUCGAAAUGCGAUAAGUAAUGUGAAUUGCAGAAUUCAGUGAAUCAUCGAAUCUUUGAACGCACCUUGCGCUCCUUGGUAUUCCUCGGAGCAUGCCUGUUUGAGUAUCAUGAAAU
rnacentral:rRNA from 1 species